GCGAGUGUAGCCAAGUGGUUAAGGCAGUGGAUUGUGGUUCCACCAUUCGAGGGUUCGAUUCCCUUCACUCGCC
rnacentral:tRNA from 2 species